rnacentral:rRNA from 1 species
GACGAACGCUGGCGGCGUGCUUAACACAUGCAAGUCGAACGGAAAGGCCCUGCUUUUUUGGGGUGCUCGAGUGGCGAACGGGUGAGUAACACGUGAGUAACCUGCCCUUGACUUUGGGAUAACUUCAGGAAACUGGGGCUAAUACCGGAUAGGAGCUCCUGCUGCAUGGUGGGGGUUGGAAAGUUUCGGCGGUUGGGGAUGGACUCGCGGCUUAUCAGCUUGUUGGUGGGGUAGUGGCUUACCAAGGCUUUGACGGGUAGCCGGCCUGAGAGGGUGACCGGCCACAUUGGGACUGAGAUACGGCACAGACUACUACGGGAGGCAGCAGUGGGGAAUAUUGCACAAUGGGAGGAAGCAUGAUGCAGCAACGCCGCGUGCGGGAUGACGGCCUUCGGGUUGUAAACCGCUUUCGCCUGUGACGAAGCGUGAGUGACGGUAAUGGGUAAAGAAGCACCGGCUAACUACGUG